rnacentral:rRNA from 1 species
UACGUAGGGUGCUAGCGUUGUUCGGAAUCAUUGGGCGUAAAGCGCGUGUAGGCGGUCAAUUAAGUCGUGUGUGAAAUCCCUGGGCUCAACCGAGGAAGUGCAUGCGAAACUGAUUGGCUUGAAGACGGCAGAGGAAGGUGGAAUUCCAAGUGUAGAGGUGAAAUUCGUAGAUAUUUGGAGGAAUACCGGUGGCGAAGGCGGCCUUCUGGACCGAUCUUGACGCUGAGACGCGAAAGCGUGGGGAGCAAACAGG